GACGAACCGUGCGAACGUUUAUUCGGAAUCACUGGGCUUAAAGCGCGUGUAGGCGGAUGGGGACGUCGGUCGCUGAAAGCCCCCGGCUCAACCGGGGAAGUGGCGCCGAAACGCCCCCGUCUGGAGGGACGUAGGGGGGACCUGGAACUUCCGGUGGAGCGGUGAAAUGCGUUGAGAUCGGAAGGACGCCCGUGGCGAAAGCGAGUCCUGGACGUCUGCUGACGCUGAGACGCGAAAAGCUAGGGGAGCGAACGGG
rnacentral:rRNA from 1 species